rnacentral:lncRNA from 1 species
UGUAAUUUUUAAUGUUUUCCAAAUGCACGGUUUCUUACCAUACCAAACUCGUUGUUCUAACAUUCUUCUCAAUUAAUCAUUUGUAUUCAAAUGUUGCAGACCAAAAGCGGGAAGGAGUUAGUUGCAUUUCUUCUGAAUGACAUGAUUCUGCUGGCCCAGCAUGUCUCAGGGAAACCCUUGAAUCGGCAAUUUUCGUUUGAUCGGCAUUCCUCUGCUGUCUUUAAAAUUUAUAAGCAUCCUUUACUAUUGAGCGAAAUCAAAGUUCUGAGUAACAGCUCUGAAACAGAAACCUCAGAGUUGAGGCUGGAAUACAAUAAAGCUGUCAUUUCAAUGAAUGCAUCCUCAGUCAAUGAACGCAACCUUUGGCUCAAAAAAAUAAUGGAAGCCAAGAAAGAUCUAGCUGCUGGUGAAAAACUCAGCAGGAACAGCAAGAAAUCAGUAAGUUUGCCCUGAUUCUCGAAAAAUGUAAAUACACCGAGACAUUUUAUGUACAUUUUACCAUGUCUCUAUUUUUUAUCCCUACUUUUUUUGGUGCGUAUCUGAUGUAUACUGCCUAUCGUGAUCAUUAAAAUCCCUGACAGAUACAUGUAUUAAAUUCCGAAAGGGCUAAUGGGAAAGUAUGGAGGGCUGGUUGUGACUUUUGUUGAGCUUGUCAAAAAGUUACUAAUGCUUCAAUCGUUUCGGUCGAUACGUUUUUGCAAAUCUCUGUAGUUUCAGAUUUUUAAUUUGAAGAUAAACAGGUUGUGCUAUUUUAUUUCUUUUGAGAGCUGUAUAACGAGGCAUUGAAAUUAUGACUCUUUUUAUAUCAGUCAAAAUUUUGCCGGAUCCUCUAUCUGCUCUGAGAAAAAGAGAACACCUGAUCCAUCGAAGAAGGGAGUUUUUCAACACCUGCGCCUACCCUCAUAUAAUUCUUAAAGUCCCCACUACAGACUUAGAUAUCCCCUACCCGCAGAUUCUAUCAAUAUGUUUAUUGUUUGGUGCAUUUGCUCUUUAAAAUUUCUUACCAAAGUGUUCUACAGUUUGCUUCUUUCUAAUCUCAGGGACAAUGAAGGAUAGUUAUUUUUAGCUAACUUUUAUUUUGAAGGUUUUUUUUUUAACUGAUUAAUCAAAAGCUCAUGAGUCAACAAAUGAAAAACACUUAGAUAUCAGAGGAAACAUUAUUCAAAAUAUUUAUGUAAUGUUUUGCUCAAUAUUAUCUCCCCCCCCCCUUUCUUCUAAAGCUGGCAGGUAGUGUUGAGUAAUUUUAAGAUGGCGCUUUAGGAAAUAUAGAGUCUA